CCUGGAUCUCCUAAGUGGAAUUUGCUCUGAGGCCUGCGUCACAAGUGCGCCUGGGUUGUGUAAGGCAGGAAUGUGGAAAAUAGUUAGAAUUUGAUAAAAGCAUUGUGGAGGAGGGGCACCCUCUCACUCCGAGGGCUGUGACAGCCACAAGCUUGUUCGCAGCGCCUGAAUUUCAGCCUUUCUGGAGAAGCAUGAAGCCCAGAGAAACAGCACAGAGAAGAGUUUAUAUUCCUGUUUCUUCAGUUUGAAGACUGAACCCUAAUCUCAUUUCUCUCCAUCAUGCCUCCCCACCCCCAAAUCCUCAAGCUAAAGCUGAUCAAGAUCUACGUGUGGAAUGAAAAGCUAGUCCCGUGCCUGGGAGAAUUCAUACUCAGUGAGUUAGGGAGAUAAGCGAGGUCUCUUUCAGUCUAAAGAAAACCUGCUUGCUUCUGGAAAGUGCCAGUGGGAAAUUUCAGAAUGGAGCAGGGUGUGCCCGGCAGCCUUCUGGAUCAGAGAGGUUUUGCCUGUGUUCAGAGGUGAAGGUGUUUCCCACACAGCUGAAGAGCGUCAAGCAGGCUUGACCCUGUGGCCCAGGCUGACCCCUGCGCUUUCCUUGGUGUCGUCAGCCUGAAGUAAAUGUAUCCAAAAACCUCCACUUAAACAGCGUCCUUAAAAUAGGGUCUCUGUGCGUGUGGACUGUGUUUCCUGUUACUCGUUCGAGAUGGUAUAGAGAAUGUUUAUCUUUGCUAACUAGUUACUAACCUCGUCUGACGUUUGCAUCGUGAGCAGUAAAUGCUGCGUUUUAUUGGGGUGGCCCUCGCCAGCACUUUUUCUCCGUUGGUCAGUUCCACGACUUGGGGGCAAAAAAUCUCUCAGCUCCAUCUUUAAAAUCAGGAGAGUGAGCCAUUAGGGAAGCUCGUACCGAGUCUGGCCCUGAACUUGAAGUCCUGACCUCUCACCCUUGGCGUGGCCCUAGAUGAGAACCUAGAUGCUGGGCAUUUCUCUUCGUGCAGCUUAUUCUCGCUCGUUCAUCCAGUUGUCCAUUCCGUGGUUUACUUGUUCAUACACCAAACGUGGAGGGCCGGCCGUGGCUCCCAGAACUGUCUUCAGCCCACAGCCCAGUGCUUCCCCGAUAGACAUCCCUGAAGGACCAGUUUUUAAAAAAUGUUCUAGUCAUUGCAGAUGGAUACUUUGUUUUUUUAAAUUUUUAUUGAGAUUAUGAUAGUUUACAACCUUGUGAAAUUUCAGUCGUACAUUAUUGUUUGUCAGUCAUACUGUAGGUGCACCCCUUCACCCUUUGUG
rnacentral:lncRNA from 1 species